GUUUGAAUGUGACGGAAUUCCAUGUCGGCACAUGCUGGCGUACUUGUUUAGAAUGCAGAUUAUGGAACUGUCUACUAAGUACAUCUUGCAGAGGUGGACUAAAAUAGCAAAAGUGGACUGAGUUAUGGAUGACUUGGGCAGUGAUGGGAAAUAAAUAUUUGACAAUUCGGUUUUAGUGUGGUGAUAGUGUAUCUUCCAACUUGCUUGUAAUGUGACUGAUGACGCUAUAUUAAGUGAAGAAGGAACUCAAGUUUUGGGAGAAGCUUUGCAAUCAACUCAAAAGAAGAUAGCAGUGAUGAGAAGUUCUCUCGAAGAUGGUUCAGCGAGUAGUAUCCAAGUGCUUAUUUCUCUUGGAAGUUAACAUAGUUUUAAAGAACCACUUCAAAUAAGGGCGAAGGGUUGUAGCAAACGAUUGAAAGGAGUAAAAGAGAAAGUUGUCAAGAAGAGUGAAAAAUGUAAUAGUUGUAGAUUAACAGGGCAAUCGCAUGACAAAAAGAAUUAUCCAAAACUUCUAAACAUCUCUUCAUAAGAUGUUAGGUUGAAUGAUGACGACGACGACAUUGACUAUGACGAUGAUUGAGAACGACUCGUGAGAAGAUGGCGACGUCCGGAGAUGGGGAUGAGCUGUCAAAGAUUACGCUUGGAGAAACGUUUUCUAAUGGAAUGUUGUUACCUGAUUCAUGAAACUCGUGUGUACAUUUCCAGCAUAUUUUCUUGUAGGUUUCCGUUAGUUGUGCUGGAUUGCUAAUUUCAUGAAGUUCAUGAAAAUUGUGCUGUUAGAUGUUAAAAAAAAAUAGG